GUGUGGACCAUUUAUCUGCUGGCUGGUGUCCAUCUUAGAGAUGUCCCUGUGGGUGCUCCUCAAGUUACGCCUCGAAGAAUCAGACAUUCCACUGGGCUUGUGGCAUGACCAAUGUUUGUUCUGAAGUGAAAUGCCUCAAUGUGGUUGUUGGAAGUGGCCAGAUAUUCACCUAUUUGGUUAUGCAUUUCCAGAAGCCUGGAAAAAAUCCAACUGCUACAUCAUGGACGUCCUGAGAAUAACCUCCAGGCAAAGCAGACCGACUUGAACCCACGUAGAAGGUGGAAACCCAGGAUUCAUUCAUUCAUGAAGAUCACGUGAAUGAGCGCUCAGAAAGCACCUAAAAGGGCUCUUGGCAAAUAGUAAAUGACCUUCAGGAUUUUUCCUUUUAUGGAAAUUCCCACAAUUAUGAGAACCCAA
rnacentral:lncRNA from 1 species